GACGAACGCUGGCGGCGUGCUUAACACAUGCGAGUCGAACGGUGAUGCUCCAGCUUGCUGGAGUGGAUCAGUGGCGAACGGGUGAGUAACACGUGAGCAACCUGCCCCAGACUCUGGAAUAAGCGCUGGAAACGGCGUCUAAUACUGGAUACGAAACUGGCCCGCAUGGGCAUGGUUUGGAAAGUUUUUCGGUUUGGGAUGGGCUCGCGGCCUAUCAGCUUGUUGGUGAGGUAAUGCUCACCAAGGCGACGACGGGUAGCCGGCCUGAGAGGGCGACCGGCCACACUGGGACUGAGACACGGCCCAGACUCCUACGGGAGGCAGCAGUGGGGAAUAUUGCACAAUGGGCGAAAGCCUGAUGCAGCGACGCCGCGUGAGGGAUGACGGCCUUCGGGUUGUAAACCUCUUUCAGCAGGGAAGAAGCGAAAGUGACGGUACCUGCAGAAGAAGCACCGGCUAACUACGUG
rnacentral:rRNA from 1 species